rnacentral:rRNA from 1 species
GAUCCUGCUCAGGACGAACGCUGGCGGCGUGCUUAACACAUGCAAGUCGAACGAGAAUCUACUGAAAGAGUUUUCGGACAAUGGAUGUAGAGGAAAGUGGCGGACGGGUGAGUAACGCGUGAGGAACCUGCCUUGAAGAGGGGGACAACAGUUGGAAACGACUGCUAAUACCGCAUAACGCAUAGGGGUCGCAUGAUCUUUAUGCCAAAGAUUUAUUGCUUCAAGAUGGCCUCGCGU